ACUUCAGUCUUAGACUUCCCAGCUGCCUUGAGGGAUUGGACCAUUCCCAUGGUUCUGUGUGUUCCAAAUAUUUUCAAAUAUUAGGUAUAAGGUUGAGCGUUUCAGGAUAUGCUGUUUUGAGCU
rnacentral:lncRNA from 1 species